ensembl:lncRNA
UUUGUCCUGUUUGCUCUUGUUCUAUAGUGUUUGUCCUGUUUGCUCUUGUUCUAUGGUGUUUGUCCUGUUUGCUCUUGUUCUAUGGUGUUUGUUCUGUCCUGUGUGGUUCAGUGAACUGUGGGAGGCCUGAUGUGGACUAUAACGGGAUGGUGUACGGGAACGACUGGUGGGUGGGCUCAGUUGUCCGGUAUGCCUGUCGCUCUGGCUUCCUAUUGGUGGGGGACCCUGCCCGAGCCUGCCAGUCCAAUGGAGGCUGGACCCCCAAACCCUCCUGUCUCAGGGUGUGUCAUCAGGGCCGCGUGGAGAUCACUGAGAAGGAGCUAGAAACAGCUACCUGCUCCUCCACCUGUCCCCUUAAGUCCUACAUGGGGCCUCUUAAGCAGGGCUGCUACGGCAUCGACAACUGCAGGAAGAUGAAUCCUGACUGGAAGCGCUGGUUCACCCGCUGUGACACGUGCCUGUGUGAUUGCCACAUCGCCUGUGCCAUUGGUUGGACUGUCUGUAUUGCUUAAGACUUACCCAGACGUAGAUGGUUGUCCAAAGUCAAAGAAUGGAAUAGUGUUGUACAUACUGGGAGAACAGAAGAAUAAGAGAUGAUUCAUAAGCACUGUUUUAGACCCGCAAGAACCUGCAUCCACUCUGACACUAGCUCCCAGGAGGUCUGAUUGGCCUCAUUUCCAGCCACUCAAUUCACACGCUUCCAGGGGCAGCCCAAAGUCUGGUCAUGGUCUGGGUCCUCCAGUCUCCUCAUGGGCCCCAAUAGUACUCCCCCUUCCACCACCGAGCUGGAGUAGACCUGACCAACCAAUUCUCCAUUGGACAAGCUCACUCUCACACAGACAGCCUGAUAGGCACUGCCACCCUCACUGGACCUACAAGAUGCAACAAGAACCCAAGAUAAUGAAGGCUUAUUAUGACCCUUCAAGUGGGUAUGUACUCUUUAGUGUUCAAUAUGAAACCAUGAUAACCGUAAAUUAAAAGACAUGUAAUAGCAUUAUGUAGUAUUAGUGACAGUUUAAUGUGUACGCUGACAUUUACUUUCAUAUUCAAUCAACCGACAUGAGCGAUACUGUUUGCAGGACAUGACCUACAGCAACACAAUAUAUAGAUGUGAAUGUGGCACUAUAGCUGUAAUAUGUCAGAGCACCCAAUAAAUAUAAUUGGAACUCACCUCCCUGUGCGAGUGUCCCCAGUAUCAACAGCUGCAGAAGAGCCACAGAGAGGAGAGUUGUAAGUCCUGGUGCCAUUAUGAUGAUACUACCUGCGUCUCAAAUCCAGAUGUCUCUUGCUUUGUCACACACACACACACAAGAGCACUUCUUCAACUGUACCUGACUCCAGUGAUCCCCGUUUGAGCACAUUCCAGCCCCAUGUUGCCAUAGUUUAUGUUUCUUAUUUAUCUAUUCAGCAAAAGGCAUUGUGGAAUAAGGUCAACACGCUCUUUAAGAACUCACGCGUAUGACAAAUCAAGACUCCUAAGAAAAUAGCUUUUCUUUCAAAUGUUCCCUUUUGCUCCAUUUAAGAACUUUUUUCACAAGGCCAUUCUUCAAGCAUAUUGUGAAUAGAAAGUGAUGUUAGCUUGUCAUUGAUAUAAUAAAGCAGAAAUCUGCAUUGACGUUGAGUAAUGAUCUAUCUUCGCCCUCUGAU